rnacentral:lncRNA from 1 species
UGCAGCAUAUGGAAUUUUGAGGGCUAGGGAUGGAAUCACCAAUGCUACAGCAACACCAGAUCCGAGCUGCAUCUGUGACCUACACUGCAGCUUGCAGCAAUGCUGGAUCCUUAAUCCACUGAGUGAGGCCAGGGAUUGAACCCACAUGCUCAUGGAGACCACAUCAAGUCCUUAACAUGCUGAGCCACAAUGGGAACUUCUAAUUUUUUUUUUAAUUAAAAAUGUUUCUAAAUUCUAUAUUGGAGUACAGUUGAUUUACAAUGCUGUAUUAGUUUUAGGUGUGCAGCAAAGUGAUUCAGUUGUACAUAAACAUAUAUCCAUUCUUUUUCAGGUUCUUUUCCCAUAUAGGUUACUACAGAGUAUCAAGUUCCCCAUGCUGUGCAAUCUUGUUUUGCCCAAGAACAACCAGGUUCCUCGUAUCUUCCUUUAUUAGUCUAAUACUUGGUGUAGUUUAAUCACAGACAUCUAAAAAGAAGGCUAGUGAGAACCAAAAUGAAGAUAAACUGAAUAUUAACUCCACUUAGCCAACAAAAGUUACCCUGAGAGAACCUGGCCUGAAGAUGGCAGGAUGCCCAGGAUCGCCUCUCUCCAGCCCCAUGUUCUGUCUCCCAGCCUCACACACACCCCGCUGCCUGGCUGAUCCCAGGUUUGAAAGCUCCCUGGAACUCAGCCUUUCUUCUAAGCACCUCUCUGGUUUCGCUGUUGCCAUUUUUCACCUGCCCUCUGACUCCAUCUGGCCAAGGUGAGCAUUUCAGCUCCAGGUGGAUGUAGCUGGCCUGCUGGCCAAAGAUGCCCACCGGCCACUGCACUGAGCUGACACAAGGGCAACAGGGCAGCAGAUCUGGUCCCAGGUGCCACUGAUCUCUGGAGCAGGUUUUCUAACAAGGUCUUUCAGUGUGGAGAAGAGAACAGGGGAGCAUCAGGUAAGAGUUAUAUAGGGUGGGAGCCAGGGAAGGCAGGCAGAGGAAGGCAUGCAGACAUGUGUAUGCCUAAAAGUGUGCACAAGCAUGCACGCAUUCACACACACACACACACACACACACACACGUGACCUGCUCAAGUUCAGCAGCUCAUGACCAUUUUUCCUUUUCUGAAGAACAUCAGACUCAUCUGCCAGGUAACAGCAGCUGUCCGCCCCACCUACACGUGGAAUUUCUAGGCACAGCAAGGCCGGUGGCAUCCUUUACCCCGUGGCUCUUUCCAGUCCUGCCGUUUCUGGCUUUCCCCAGACUCUCUUUCCCUUUAAGAUUUCAGGCAAGUGCCUGUGAAAUCCAGUUGGGAGCAGAAAACAGGCUUCUACCACAGAGAGAAAGACAAUGUGUCUCCAAUGCACCAAGAAUUCCCAGGUCCUAGAAGAGGCAGGUGCUGGGAGAAAUGUCUAAGAUUAAGGGGCUGCCUCCAAUUUUUGACUAGUUCCUGGCACGUCCCAGCCCUGAACUUGGGGUUAGGUCUGCUCCUCUGGGCUCACAGGCAUCCUGUGUUUCCUCUGCCAGCAUCCUGGCCCAUAGCCGGCUACUUCCCACCAGGAUAGGAACUCCUGAUGUAGGUACAAAGUCCUCCAGUUCUGGCAGAGAAAGUUGCUCCCUAAGUGUUGAAAGACAUAGAGAGCCUUGUUUUGCAGAGGAGGAGCUGUUGCUUAGAGAAAGAAGAAGGGGAAAAGGGUGGGAAAGGAACCAGCCCUUCUGGAAAACCCAGAGGCUAGGGAGCAUCUUAGGCAUCUAACAUUCAUUUGUCUUAGGCCUCUGAGUUCAGUUCCUCCCAGAACCCUGGGGAAUUCAGGUCCCUACUCUGCAGACAUGCUAGCCAGUGCUGGGACCCAUGUAUGUGGGAGACAGCACAAUGCAAGGCUACAUAGAGUGAAAGGCUGAACAGCUGGGGACAGUGACCACAGGAGAGACCAGUGUCACAAGCCUCACGGCAAUGUGGAACAAGAGCAGGGCUGUGUAGGGGAGGAAUUCUGAGAGGCACCAAGUCCCCCCCGACCCCCGAAAUUUAAAUUUGGCCUGCCUUGCAGGCAGAGAUACAGAAUCCCUCAAGUUAAAAAAAAUUUUUUUUUUACAUUGGAGUAUGAUUUAGUGUUGUGUCAAUUUCUGCUGUACAGCAUAGUGACCCAGUCAUAGAUGUAUACACAUUUUUUCUCAUAUUAUUUUCCAUCAUGUUCUACCCCAGGAGAAUGGACAGAGCCCCCUGUGCUGUGCAAUAGGAUCACCUUACUUUUCCAUUCUAAAUGUAAUGGUUUACAUCUACCAACCCAAAGUUAAAAUGUUAAAGGGCAACAGACCCAAACUGGGAAAUGCACAGUUUCUACCUCGCCUCCCUCACCUUUGCCCAUUAGCAGAGUUAAAUUUAUACCAGGCAGAACUCAUACACACAAACCGAAAUGUACCACUGUUGGAAAUGUGAAACAACCACUCUUAUGAAUGGCAAUGCAUGGAAAAACACCUUCAACCUAUAAGAAGAUUACUUCUGAAAACUGGGAACAACUUCGAAAGAGUAAGAGAUUAUAAAAGAGCAUCAAGUAAUUUCCCAAUUUUGAAAAGACAGGGAAGUGUAUUAUACAUACACUCCAGAAGGGUCACCGCUCACAGCAGGUCCUAUUAGGAUUCUCAGGAUCUGUCUUCCUAGAAGAGGAAACUCAGAGGUCAUUGUCUUCUCUGCCAAUUGUCUGUGCCAUACAUGUAAGCAUCCCUGUACUAUAUCCACUUGUUUUAUGUCAUCUGACGUUAGAGCUAAAGGCUCCUUGAUGAUGAUUUACUCCACCCCCCUUCUUUUAUAUUUGGGAAAAUUGGGAGCUCGGUGCGUUUUCUCCAAGUUUUAGGAGCGGUGGGCCUAGCCUAGAACACUGCAUAUUUUCUAAAACGUCUUACCGAAUGCUACUCUUAACUACUGACCAUCCUAAUGCCUCUCAAAAGGAUAGGGCACAGAGCUUAAAUGAGAAAGAAAUUACACGCUGGCCAUUAAGAAGAAUACCACUUAUACCACCAUUUCAGCUUUUCUCUUGCUCCAGAGGCUCAAGCAGCAGAGUUAUGAACAUGUGAGCCAUGGCAGGUGAUGCUUCCAAGAACAUGUACUCCUGAGGUCACUCCCGCACACAUCGGGGCCCCUUCCCAGGGACCACAGAGAACAGCUGUCAUAAGGUGGGGCCAAGAAAGGCUGUUCUGUUUGUGCCUGUUUAGUGGGGCUGUGAUGAUACGUGAGGAAGUCUUUGGUAUGGCAAUAAUCCUGGAUUAUAAAUAAUUUAGCAUAUUUCUUUGUAAACGGCAGUCCAGAAUCCUUGCAAAUAAGAAAAGGAUUAACUUUUUUAGAAGGACUUGCUCUUGAGACUUUAAGUUCAAGGCAGAACAAUGCUUGCCGUGGUAAUUCCAUCUAUUUUAAGAUCACAAAACCAUACCAAGUUGAAACCGGAGCAGAAGAUAUUAAUGCAGUGCUCUCUCUGAAGUGCCCAAUAGUGGGGCGAGAAAGCUUUCAAAGGGAAUUAAGUAGACAGAGAAAGCUCCCUGUUCAUGUCCAAAUCACAAGGAGGCAGCUGAAUAGGAUUCACAGUUCUCCGUGGGAAGGACCCACACCACAGCUCAUGUUCAAAACAGGGGGGCGAUGUCUUGGGAAGAUCAAGGACCCAGAAUUCUGCUGUCAGAAUCAGCUGCCUGCCCAUUAGAGCCUCAAAAGACCCUCUUCCGUGUGUGAGCUGAUAUGAUCCUACAAAUGAGCCCAUUUUUCUUUUUCUAACCGGCCCAAAGUCUAUCUGAAGGAAACCGUCAUUAUGUAAUAUUUCCCAAGAGCCCUUGAUGUGAGCUUCAGAUCUGGGGUAUGUGCGUGUGCGUGUGCGUGUGUGUGUGUGUGUGUGCGCGCACAGUGGGAGAGGGUGAGGGGGCAGCGAGAAUAAGACGUACAUACAAAGCAGAGAAGCUGGAUGGGGAGCUUGGUGUGGAAGAACAGACACACCUCCAGGGUGAGCCUUGGGUCAAGAGGUCAACAUCUGGUUGGGACACAUAGAUGGCGGUCAUGGGGGCGGGGAACAAAAUGAGCUGCAAAGAGUCAGAGUCAGAAACAAUGGAAGGGCAACAAGAGACAGAGGUUGAGAAGUACAGGCUCACACACCAUCCACCAUCAAGGUGGGGGUGUGAAGGACUAGAGGAACAGGUCAAUGAGACCACACCGCAGAAGUCUAGCCUCCAAGAUCCUCCACAAUCUUCUCCUGCCUGUCUUUCCAGCCCCAUCUCCUGUGGUCUCCCAUAUGACAUCUUAUCUGCCAUCAUAUUAAAAAUGCAGCAGACUCUGCUGUUCUCCAUUCUUGCCUGUGUUUUUCCUGUCCUUUGUACCCAGACAGCCCUUUCUGUCUUCUCCUAAUAUGUCUCUCAUCAUCCAAGAUUUAGCUUCAGUCACCUCUUCCUGGAAGCCUUCCUUGCUCCCCCAAACUGUAGGCUGGGUUAAGUACCACACCUCUGUGCUCUGAUGACAUCAUGCCAAUUUCCAAGCUGCUACCCAAGGAAGAUGGCCAAGAGGUUUCAUAUCAAGGGUCAACUGUAAACUCUGAAAGGGUCACGGUUACCUAGGGCAUGGUGGUAAGAAGGAUGCUGAGGCCUCCUCUGGAUUUAUUUGGAAAAAAUACUAUAGUUACUUAAGCAUACCUGCCACUUCAGGCCAUAGGCUACAGUUUGCCAUCCCUGUUCUGAAGCAACAUCUCAUUUGCCAGAUAAGGCGCUCAAGGCUGAAAGAUGGGAAAUAUCUGAUGAGCAUUUGAAGGCUGGUUAACAGCAAAAUCAGGAAAGGAAUUCCAGGUCUUGUGAUGCCUAAGUAAGCACUCCUUUUAAAUGAUAAAGAUUCCCCCCAAUUUUAAACCUGGAAUAUUGAAGCUUAAGAGAGUCUUAGCUCUUUCCAGAGGAGGAGGAUAAUUACAGAGUGAUUGAGCCUUGAGGAAGAACUUAAGAGAUUCAGUGAUUUUGCUUGGAUACCUCUUGCCUGAACCCCUGUGUCUUACAAGCUUUCCUCCCGCCCAAUCCUCCCCAAGUCCCCUGCCUUCAUGCUCUUCUCCAGGCAGUGCUGUUGGCACUGCCAGUGCCUAUCACCCAAGUUAAAACAAAGGCUUCUGAGCUGACUCUUCUGAUAUCACCCAUACGCCAUCAAAACGACACAUGCUCUUUGGUGUCAGGCAAGAAAGUGGAUGAAGUUGAAUCCACCUUUUCCCAUGUCAUCUUUCACUCCUCAACCUGGAACCUGAAACUCUCCU